UUUUGGUAGGUUCCCAAUCCUGAAGAAAAUGAGGCAGUCGGUACAAUAACUCUCUCUCUUAAAAAUUCAGGGGAAUCCCAUACCAACAGUAGUAAAGUUCUAGUAAAGAAGCAGCUAUCCAAAAUUCUAGUCCAGACAGACAAAGCCGUGUACAAACCAGGACAAGCUGUAAAAUUCUGGAUUCUGUCCCUUAACGAAGAUU